CCCAGACUCCUACGGGAGGCAGCAGUGGGGAAUAUUGCACAAUGGGCGCAAGCCUGAUGCAGCGACGCCGCGUGGGGGAUGACGGCCUUCGGGUUGUAAACCUCUUUCAGUAGGGACGAAGCGCAAGUGACGGUACCUACAGAAGAAGCACCGGCCAACUACGUGCCAGCAGCCGCGGUAAUACGUAGGGUGCGAGCGUUGUCCGGAAUUACUGGGCGUAAAGAGCUUGUAGGUGGUUUGUCGCGUUGUUCGUGAAAUCUCACGGCUUAACUGUGAGCGUGCGGGCGAUACGGGCAGACUAGAGUACUGCAGGGGAGACUGGAAUUCC
rnacentral:rRNA from 1 species